rnacentral:rRNA from 1 species
CCUACGGGGUGCAGCAGUGGGGGAUAUUGCACAAUGGGGGAAACCCUGAUGUAGCGACGCCGCGUGUGGGAUGACGGUCCUCUGGAUUGUAAACCACUGUCCCCAGGGACGAAGAUGAUGGUACCUGGGGAGGAAGCUCCGGCUAACUACGGGACAGCAGCUGCGGUAAUACGUAGGGAGCGAGCGUUGUCCGGAAUUACUGGGUGUAAAGGGAGCGUAGGCGGGACUGCAAGUUGGGUGUCAAAUCUACGGGCUCAACCGGUAGCCGCACUCAAAACUGCAGUUCUUGAGUGAAGUAGAGGCAGGCGGAAUUCCUGGUGUAGCGGUGAAAUGCGUAGAUAUUAGGAAGAACACCAGUGGCGAAGGCGGCCUACUGGGCUUUUACUGACGCUGAGGCUCGAAAGUGUGGGGAGCGAACAGGAUUAGAUACCCCUGUAGUC